GAUGAACGCUAGCGACAGGCUUAACACAUGCAAGUCGAGGGGCAGCAUGAAGUAGCAAUACUUUGAUGGCGACCGGCGCACGGGUGAGUAACGCGUAUGCAACCUGUCUGAUACAGAGGGAUAGCCCAUGGAAACGUGGAUUAACACCUCAUAGUAUUGUGAGAUCGCAUGGUUUUACAAUUAAAUCAUUAGAGGUAUCAGUUGGGCAUGCGUCCUAUUAGCUGGUUGGCGGGGUAACGGCCCACCAAGGCGAUGAUAGGUAGGGGUUCUGAGAGGAAGGUCCCCCACAUUGGAACUGAGACACGGUCCAAACUCCUACGGGAGGCAGCAGUCGGGAAUAUUGCACAAUGGGGGAAACCCUGAUGCAGCAACGCCGCGUGAAGGAAGAAGGGCCUUCGGUUGUAACGUUACUUUUAGUCUAGGGACGAAGGACGUGACGGUACC
rnacentral:rRNA from 1 species